CGUGCGGGAUGAAGGCCUUCGGGUUGUAAACCGCUUUCAGCAAGGAAGAAGCGAAAGUGACGGUACUUGCAGAAGAAGCACCGGCUAACUAUGUGCCAGCAGCCGCGGUAAUACAUAGGGUGCAAGCGUUGUCCGGAAUUAUUGGGCGUAAAGAGCUCGUAGGUGGUUCGUCACGUCGGAUGUGAAAAUCUGGGGCUUAACCCCAGACCUGCAUUCGAUACGGGCGAGCUAGAGUGUGGUAGGGGAGACUGGAAUUCCUGGUGUAGCGGUGGAAUGCGCAGAUAUCAGGAGGAACACCAAUGGCGAAGGCAGGUCUCUGGGCCAUUACUGACACUGAGGAGCGAAAGCGCGGGGAGCGAACAGGAUUAGAUACCCUGGUAGUCCGCGCCGUAAACGGUGGGCACUAGUUGUGGGAACCUUCCACGGUUUCCGCGACGCAGCUAACGCAUUAAGUGCCCCGCCUGGGGAGUACGAUCGCAAGAUUAAAACUCAAAGGAAUUGACGGGGCCCCGCGCAAGCAGCGGAGCAUGCGGCUUAAUUCGACGCAACGCGAAGAACCUUACCAAGGCUUGACAUAUACAGGAAUAUGGCAGAGAUGUCAUAGCCGCAAGGUCUGUAUACAGGUGGUGCAUGGUUGUCGUCAGCUCGUGUCGUGAGAUGUUGGGUUAAGUCCCGCAACGAGCGCAACCCUCGUUCUGUGUUGCCAGCAUUUAGUUGGGGACUCACAGGAGACUGCCGGGGUUACUCGGAGGAAGGUGGGGAUGACGUCAAAUCAUCAU
rnacentral:rRNA from 1 species